rnacentral:misc_RNA from 1 species
GGCCAUCCAAGUUCGAUUUUCAGUCUACAAAUUUUCAUCGCAGUUUAGUGAGCAGGUGCCACAUCACCAAAAUUCAAACCGCUUAAUUGUUGUGAACCAAAACUAGGUCAACCGGUUCACACAAGUUGAAUUGGUUUUUUUCAAUAAAGGGUUUCAAACCAGAAGCGAACCAAUAUCUGGUCCCAUUACAGGGUUUUCUGGUCCAGCUUUAAAAGCUACAAUAAUCACCAUGCCUUUU